GACGAACGCUGGCGGCGUGCCUAAUACAUGCAAGUCGAACGCAGUGGGGACGGGUGAGUAACACGUGGGUAACCUCCCAUCAGAGGGGAUACCACUUGGAAACUGGUGCUAAACCAGAUACUGAUGGAUGGACCCGCGGUGCAUUAGCUAGUUGGGGAGGUAACGGCUCACCAAGGCCACGAUGCAUAGCUGACCUGAGAGGGUGAUCGGCCACACUGGGACUGAGACACGGCCCAGAAUCCUACGGGAGGCAGCAGUAGGGAAUAUUCGGCAAUGGACGAAAGUCUGACCGAGCAACGCCGCGUGAGUGAAGAAGGGUUUCGGAUCGUAAAACUCUGUUGUCAGAGAAGCGGUAUCUAACCAGAAAGCCCCGGCUAACUACGUGCCAGCAGCCGCGGUAAUAC
rnacentral:rRNA from 1 species